rnacentral:lncRNA from 1 species
UUUUAGUUUACCCUUAUUUGAUAGUUCUUCCACCGACCAUGUUCAUGCCAUUUGUAGUAUUGAUGGAAUUGAUCUUACAUGUAAUACACAACCAUAAGAUGUACAAAUGGAUGAUGCUAUACAUGUUUCUUCCCUAUUAGUAUGUGUUAUUCAUCCGAAAAAAACAACUUGUAUCAAUAUGAGACUUUGUGCUAUGAUAGACCCGAGAAGGGUAGUUGCAA